rnacentral:rRNA from 1 species
AUUGAACGCUGGCGGCAUGCUUUACACAUGCAAGUCGAACGGUAACAGGCCGCAAGGUGCUGACGAGUGGCGAACGGGUGAGUAAUGCAUCGGAACGUGCCCAGUCGUGGGGGAUAACUGCUCGAAAGAGCAGCUAAUACCGCAUACGAUCUAUGGAUGAAAGCGGGGGACCGUAAGGCCUCGCGCGAUUGGAGCGGCCGAUGUCAGAUUAGGUAGUUGGUGGGGUAAAGGCUCACCAAGCCAACGAUCUGUAGCUGGUCUGAGAGGACGACCAGCCACACUGGGACUGAGACACGGCCCAGACUCCUACGGGAGGCAGCAGUGGGGAAUUUUGGACAAUGGGCGCAAGCCUGAUCCAGCAAUGCCGCGUGCAGGAUGAAGGCCUUCGGGUUGUAAACUGCUUUUGUACGGAACGAAAAGCCCUGGGUUAAUACCCUGGGGUCAUGACGGUACCGUAAGAAUAAGCACCGGCUAACUACGUGCCAGCCGCCGCCGUAAGAC